UCACUGGUGUCUAUAUGUUUUAGUUGA
rnacentral:piRNA from 1 species